ensembl:lncRNA
CUGGGGUGGUUGUCAGGGCAGGCCGCAGCCUGGCCUUCCCCAGGCACUGCUGCAGGCCCCAGCCUGGACAGGGCUGCAUCAAGGUGGUGCUGGGUGCAGCAGGGGCCCAGGCUGGGAAGGGGCACCUUGUCUGCUUGUGGAAGGUCUCAGUGCUGAGGGAAACAGUAUUUGCUUAAUACAAUGGAGAAGGGGUACUUAAUUAAUUUCUUCUGUGGUCUGUGGGGAAAUUCUUCUAAGGUCUGUUAAUUCUUCACUGAGAUCUGAUCAGCAGGAAGCAACGUUCCGGUUUCAGCUCUGCCUUUGCAACUUCCAGCUGCUCCUGGGAGGGCAGGGUGACGAUGACUUCCAAGAGAGCAGUCUUUCUGCCUACUCACCAUCAUCCAGAGGAGCUUCCUGGAUCCCUGCGCUUCCAUGAGAACGGAGGGGAGAUGCAGCUCCUACAGCCGCCAGGAGCCACCAGCUUUGAAGAAAGGGAUGAGAUGACCUCAUUAAGCAAUGCAAAAUUUACUCUUAAAAAUACAGACCAACAGAGCCGUAGAAACAACACAGUAUAUAUUUUUAAGUACCUUAGUCAAUUCAUUCAAAAACUGUACGUUGUCAGGAGGAGGGGAUGCAGUUUAAUAAUUUUAAUGGCCAACACUUAAUAAAAGAUUAAAGGUCUAAUACAUUAAAAAGGAAACUCUGCUGAUGGUAAUCACUUUUGCUGCUUUUAUACAUCAUUUUGUUCCAUGUUUGUGUAUGAAAUGAGGUUUGGGGAGGCGGGGGGAAUUUGAAGAUUUAGGGAGAUUACUGCUUUCAUGGGAGUGUUUUAUUGCACUUCGGCAGUUCUGGAUUUAAC